rnacentral:rRNA from 1 species
UAGCGGAGGAAAGAAAUACAAUGAUUCCCCUAGUAACGGCGAGUGAACAGGGAAAAGCUCAAAGUUGGAACCUCCUGGUCCUAGAUUAGGCGGAUUGUAAACUAAAGCUCUUGGGUAGUACGGUUGGCCUGAUAAAAAAGUUCUCUGGAAAGAGGCGACAUAGAGGGUGAUAUCCCCGUCUUUGGUCAGAGCUCAAUCAUGCGUUUGCCCUUUAGCGAAGAGUCAGGUUGUUUGGGAAUGCAGCCUAAAAUGGGAGGUAAAUCUCUCCUAAAGCUAAAUAUUGACGAAAGACCGAUAGCGAACAAGUACCGUGAGGGAAAGAUGAAAAGCACUUUGAAAAGAGGGUCAAAAAGUACGUGAAAUUGCUGAAAGGGAACCGUAUGAAAUCAGUCUGAUGUGUUGGUAAUCAAUCUGGAUCUCGAUCCGGAUGCACUUGCCGAUGUAUUAGCCUGCGACAGUUUGAUCUGGAGGAAAAAAGAUGGGAGAAUGUGGCCUUGGCUUCUGUUAAGGUGUUAUAGCUCCUGUCAAAAUACUUUGGAUUGGACUGAGGACUGCAGCGAGCCGCAAGGUAAAGGUCUCGGGCGCUUGCUCUGGCUAUGUAAGAAAUCUCUGCUUCGGGUGGUAUCUUGCCUAAUCGGGACAACACGCUUGUUUCUCUUUUUUCUCGCUUAGGUCGUAGGCAUAAUGAUUUUAUAUGACCCGUCUUGAACACGGACCA